CCCUUAGAUGUCCUGGGCUGCACGCGCGCUACACUGGAAGUUACGGAUUGAGAUACUACCUUGUCCGAAAUGGUCCGGGUAAUCACCUAAAAGCUUGUCAUAAUUGGAAUGGAUUAUUGUAACUAGUAAUCCUGAACGAGGAAUUCCUAGUAAGUCCCAGUCAACAGCUGGUACUGAUUACGUCCCUGCCCUUCGUACACACCGCCCGUCGCUACUACUGAUUGGACGUUUAAGCAAGAUUUUUAAACACUGACAGUGUGUAGUUCACGCUAUACUACAGUGAGAAGAAGAAGAUCGAGCUUACUUGUCUAGAGGAAGUAAAAGUCGUAACA
rnacentral:rRNA from 1 species